ACAUUUAGGUACCUAGCCAAGUUCAUAGGUCAGAAAUUCAAGCUCCUAAAAGGCACAGGCCUGUGGUUCUAGCACUAGGGAGGCUGAGGCAGGAAGUUACAAGUUCUAGGUCUUCCUGGGCUUACAGAGUGAGAUCCUGUUCCUGAAAACAAUGAAAAGACAUUUACCACCCAGAGGCUGUGACAGUCCCUUAUCUACCCCCAGCCUGGCCCCUGACAUCCCAAGGCUCUGGAAGGCAGCUCUGUCUCAGCCAGUUAUGAGUCUGCAGUCACUGAGAUCACUGCACAAGAUGCCUCCCUGCUCAUAGCAGCUGGUGGCAGCAUGGAUCAUGGACAUCAACGCGGUUUCUG